GAAACUAGGGUUAGAAUUUUGAGCCUCCCACACCAGCUCAAUCCCUAUCAACAUCUGAAGUAUGCUACUCUAAAUGGACCCUAUCAUCCUCGAAUCUCCAUCCCCGGUCAAAUCGCUGGCCGAAGGCCCUCUCGCCGGCACAAUCUUUGACUCAAUGCUCAAAGAAUCCAUCGAUCGAUUCCUCAUCGAAGUCAAGGAGUCCUAUAUAAUUUUGAGACUGCUACUACUGAAGCCACCGAUGCCCAUCAUUAUCCUCUUGAGUUCCACAGAUGAAAGCCUGGCGCGAAGUGUCCUCUAUGAUGCCGUGAUUUUAGUGGAUUAUUCUUUCAUAAAUCCUGGAAUUGAAGUAGAAAACUUCAACAAUUUUUUGAUGAAUCUUUUAAUGAAAAAACUAAUUGUUACUCAUGAAGUCAUUCAGUCUUUUAGGUGCAUGCUCAAGGUUACAGAUAUUUGCAGAUAUUAGUAUUAGUGCUGAAAUUCAUUGUCGUAGCAGGAGCAAUGGAGAUUUUAACAAAGCUAUAUGCUAUAGUAAAUCAUUUAGGACUUCCGGUGUUCCAAAUGCCUUAGUUAAAUGGUCACUCAUCAGGUUCUCUUGGAAGAACAUAACCAACCCAAUGCUAACACGCUGCAGGAGCUUCUCAAGUGGCUUGUGGUUGUUGAAGAAUGAGGGUUUAAGCUUUUUGAGGAUGACAUUUUGGAUCUAGUGAUGUUCAAGGAAUCUCACGCCUGUGACAAUACUACAAAAUUUGAUUCAAGAACCAACAAGAGGGAUGAUGAUCUUUUCUUCUUUGAUAACAAAGGAAGAGUUGAACCUGCAAAAGAUGAUGACAUGGAAACUGCAGAAGCUGCAUUUCUCACCGCUGCUUAUUCUAUGAAAUCUGACGUGAGCAAGAAGAGGAGAAAGCAAACAGGGCAUGCAAGCAAAGCAAAGAAUAAUCUGAAUUGCAGUUGAAAUUUGCCAAAUACAAGAUAGGCGACGAUUUAGUCAAAUAUUACUUCAACAAUACAUAAUAGGAUGGGAAAAAAAAGAUGAAUACGCUUGUCCUGAAUGUUCUUGUCAAUUCAUUUUAAAGUCAACACAAAGAAGGUAAAUUACGAGCGACUACUAACUUUUGGAAUAAUGACUAAUAUAUAAGGGAGACAUUUAUUUCAGUUAUAUUGAAAUUUGAAUCCCAGAUCUUAUGAUGAUAAUACAUCAUGUGUUAGCCAUCAGACCGUCCUAAGAGGAUUCAUGUAUUAGCCACCAGACCGUCCUGAAAGGACUCCACAGUUACAUAAUAGAUUCUUAGGUCUCAACAUAAGGUAGCAUCAUUACUAUGAUCUGAUCUUCUGGGACAAACGUAUAUUCUUAGGUCAGAAGACUCCA